AAACGAAGAGAAACCUUUAACAUCUGAAAAAAGUGAAAAAUAUGCUAAUUAUCGUGAUCAGCAGAUUAAUUUAAAGGAGAACAUGCAGAACCAUUCAAGAAAUAAAAGAGAUGAGCCUGUGAAAGAAUCGAUCUGGAAACAGAAUCAGCUUUUUGAAUUGGAAGAGUUUGCAAAAGCACAGCAGAAAGACUACAACUUUGGUGCAAGUUCAAACCUUCACAGGAUGAAGCAGGAUGCAGAUUCACCACUCAGCAGCCCAUCUCCCAGUUACUCCCCAAGACAGACAGAAAGCUGCUUCAGCUCCAGCCCUGACAUGUCUGAAGAGGAAGAUGCAGCCAGAAAGAAGAAAUGUGUGGACAAGCAGUACCUCCAGACAGACAGUGCCAACCGAUCUCAGCCUCUGACAGCACAGAGCCCCUCAGGGCCUCCAUAAUGGCGUUGUGCCUCCCCAGCCCGGCAGCAGUCUGGCUAUGGAGGGAGACGGCCAUCUUCAGCAGAAACACUCCAUUUCACACAGCAGAGAGGAAAAGAAAGAGCACGCCGCUCCAUGUGAGGGCAGCUCGUUACCCCAAGCCCACAAGAGAGCACAAGCCACGCAGAGCGCAAGGCGCGAUGUUUGGGUGCAGACCGAGAGCUCUGGCCCGCAAGCAGGGAAAGUGGAUGCGGCCACCCAGUGUGACCCCAUGCGGGUGUGCAGCUGUGGCCGCUCCCUGCCCUCUGCCCGCAGCCGCUGGGGCUGCAUCCUCCCGGCACCGCUGGAGGGCACAAAACGCCUGAGCAUGAGGCACUGCCGCCCGCAGGCAGCUCAGCGGGGACAGCGGCGCUCUCCUCUGAAGCCGGGUAUCUCACUUUGGCUGACAGAACAACGCUAGACAUUCUGAACUACAUUGAUACAAUGAAGGGGAGAGAAAAGCAGUGACCAGUUGAUAUGGAGUGGAAAGAAACAGAAAGAAUGCUUCCAAAUUUUGUCCUGUUCCCAGUAGGUUUCAUUUAACCUAUUUUGAUUUUUCUAACCUGGCUUGAAAAGCUAUCUUUUGUAGUCUGUUCUUAUAAAUUAAUACUAACGAUGGCUCUCUGUCUAUCAGCUGCCAUCUCUGACUUUCUGUAGAUCUCAAACUGAUAACAUAGGAUCGAUUUUACAGUAGCUUAUUAAACAUGAACCUUAGGAGUUAGAUUUGCUUUCCCACCUGUAGGGUUCUGCAGUUUGACUUUGCUUCUCUUGAAAGUAGAGGAAAGGUUCCAUUUCACUUCAAGGCACAUCUGACGUGACUUAGUUCAGAACUGUUGUCAAAUUCUCACCCGUUUGAAGAGGCAAAGCAGUCCUUGGUUUGUACUAAAUAUCUAAAUGGAAAUAGGAAAAUGGAACAGAAAGCACACAGCAGCACACAUAAAAUCAAAUGUCAUUUUAAAAGAGCUCAUUUAUUCAGUUUUAACCAAAAAAAUCCCACCAAAACCAAACAAAAACGUCAGCAGAAAGGCUCGAGCUUCUUCCCACAGCACAUCUAUGGACUCAUUCUCUGGCUGUUAACACUGACAAAUAUUUUAUGUGUUUCCGUGUUUUGCCUGUGGGUUGAAAGUAUGAAACACCUUCCUCCUCACUGCAGUAUUUGUGUAAGGCUGCAAAUAACAACAAAUAAAUGCCGCUG
rnacentral:lncRNA from 7 species